GCGGGCAUAGUAUAGUAGCAAUACGAUUCCCUUCCAAGGAAUAAUCGCGGGUGCAACUCCCGCUGCCCGCU
rnacentral:tRNA from 1 species